rnacentral:rRNA from 1 species
AUUGAACGCUGGCGGCAGGCCUAACACAUGCAAGUCGAGCGGGGUUUUCGGACCUAGCGGCGGACGGGUGAGUAAUGCGUAGGAAGCUACCCGAUAGAGGGGGAUACCAGUUGGAAACGACUGUUAAUACCGCAUAAUGUCUACGGACCAAAGUGUGGGACCUUCGGGCCACAUGCUAUCGGAUGUGCCUACGUGGGAUUAGCUAGUUGGUGAGGUAAUGGCUCACCAAGGCGACGAUCCCUAGCUGGUUUGAGAGGAGGAUCAGCCACACUAGAAAUGGGACACGGUCCAGGCUCCGACGGGAGGCAGCAGCGGGGAAUAUUGGACAAUGGGCGCAAGCCUGAUCCAGCCAUGCCGCGUGUGUGAAGAAGGCCUUCGGGUUGUAAAGCACUUUCAGUAGGGAGGAAGGGUUAAGUGUUAAUAGUACUUAACUUUGACGUUACCUACAGAGGAAGCACCGGCUAACUCUGUGCCAGCAGCCGCCGUAAUAC